GCCAUUGUAGCUUCAGUGGUAGAGCGCUCUAUUGCUUCUUUCAAGAAGCUAUCUAGAGAGGUCAUCUGUUCGAACCAGAUCUGUGGCA